CUGAGGUUACACUCAAACCCUUGUGAACUUACCGUGUUGCUUCGGCCGGUCUUCCCGGGGAGGGAAUGCAACCGCAAGGUGACCGGCCAGAGGCCUAAACUCUUGCUUCAGUGGACUUCUGAGAAACCACAACAGUAA
rnacentral:misc_RNA from 1 species